ensembl:lncRNA SNHG14 small nucleolar RNA host gene 14
GGACCUUCCUAGUGCCCUCGGCUCCUGCACUGAGCUCUGUGAACUCUUCUGCACAAGUGACCCCCCCAGCCUUGAGCGGCAUAGAUGGUAAGCCUGGAGGAAGACUUGUGUUGGGCCCACAGGCCCCAGGCCAAUGUCUGUCAGCCAGGUGCUCAGCCUCUGGUGCGCUGAAACUCUGACCCUUCCUGGCACACUGGUCUCCUGCACUGAGCUGGGAUUUUCCACCUAGGAGGUCCACCUGGCAUUGACUGACAUAGAUGGUGAGACUUCUGUCGGCCUCGCUUUUCCUGGGCCAGUGUCCAUCAGCCAGGUGCUCAGCCCCAGUGCACUGAAGCUCCAGCCCUUCCUGGCGCCCUGGACUGAGCUGUGUGAGCUCUUCUGCCAAGGGGGUCCUCCUGGCAUUGACCAACAUAGGUGGUGAGCCUGGAGGAAGACUUGCAUUGGGCCCAAUGGCCCUGGACCAGUGUCUGUCAGCCAGGUUCCCAGCCCCCGAUGCGCUGAAGCUCAAGCCUUUCCUGGCACCCUGGUCUCCUGCACUGAGCUGUGUGAGCUCUUCGGCCCAAGUGGUCCCCCCGGCCUUAAGCGGCAUAGGGUAUGGAUUGGGACCCACCAGUGAAAGCACAUGGCCCUGGAGGUCCGCAGGCUUGGAGAGGGCACCAGAUCUGGCACCCACCAUGCCCAGAUGGUGAGCCUGGAGGAAGACUCGUGUUGGGCCCACAGGCCCCAGGCCAGUGUACGUCAGCCAGGUGCUCAGCCCAUGGUGUGCUGAAGCUCUGACCCUUCCUGACUCCGUGGUCUCCUGCACUGAGCUGUGAUGACCAUAUCCAGUGAGCUCUUCCAAACAGGUGGGCUCCCUAGCAUUGACCGACAGAGUGAGCUCUGCCACCCAGGACAUCCCCCUGGCAUUGACUGGCAUAGAUGCUGACCCUGGAGGAAGACUUGUGUCGGGCCCCCAGGCCCCAGGCCAGUGUCCAUCAGCCAGGUGCUCAGCUCCCAGUGCGCUGAAGCUCAGACCCUUCCUGGCACCCUGGUGUCCAGCACUGAGCUGUGUGAGCUUUUCCACCCAGGUGGGCCCCCUGGCAUUGACCGACAUAGAUGAUGAGACUGGAGGAAGACUUCCAUUGGGCCCACUUUUCCUGGGCCAGUGUCCAUCAGCCAGGUGCUCAGCCCCUGGUGUACUGAAGCUCCAGCCUUUCCUGGUGCCCCAGUCUUCUGCACUAAGCUGUGUGAGCUCUUCCACCCAGGAGGGCCCCUUGGCAUUGACUGGCAUAGAUGGUGAGACGGGAGGAAGACUUGUGUUGGGCCUGCUGUUCCUGGGCCAGUGGCCAUCAGCCUGUUGCCCAGCCCCUGAGGCGCUGAAGCUCAGGCCCUUCCUCACACCCUGGUCUCCUGCACUAGCUGUGUGAGCUCUUCUGCCCAGGUGGGGCCCAUGGCCUUACACGACAUAGGAGCACGCAUUUCUUGAAGUCCUGCAAAGGUGAUGGUGGUCCAGACAGGAGAGGGUUCCUUCAGCCCAACAUAGCGCAGCUCCCAGCUGAAACUCGGAAGGCUGGUCAGGCCUCGAGGACUGCCCAGGCCACAUGAGGGUUUGGUGGCCGGGAGGGCCAAUGAUGCUCUGCGUCUGUGUUGGAUCAGUGUUCUUCAUGGAUUCCAUCACAUGGUGAGCCUUGAGGAAGACUUGUAUUGGGCCCCCACAGGCCCCAGGCCAGUGUCCGUCAGCCUGGUGCUCACCCCCAGUGUGCUGAAGCUCAGACCCUCCGUGGCACCCUGGUCUCCUGCACUGAGCUGUGUGAACUUUUCCUCCCAGAUGGGCCCCCUGGCAUUGACUGGCAUAGAUGGUGAGACCGGAGGAAGACUUGCAUUGGGCCUGUUGUUCCUGGGCCAGUGGCCAUCAGCCUGUUGCCCAGCCCCUGAUGCGCUGAAGCUCGGGCCCUUCCUCGCGCCCUGGUCUCCUGCACUGAGCUGUGUGAGCUCUUCUGCCCAGGUGAGGCCCAUGGCCUUAAGCGGCAUAGAUGGUGAGCCUGGAGGAAGACUUGUAUUGGGACCCUACAGGCCCCAGGCCAGUGUCUGUCAGCCUGGUGCUCAUCCCCCAGUGCGCUGAAGCUCAGACCCUCCCUGGCACCCUGGUCUCCUGCACUGAGCUGUGAUGGUGAGUCUGGAGGAAGACUUGUGUUGGACCCCCACAGGCCCCAGGCCAGUGUCCAUCAGCCUGGUGCUAAUCCCCCAGUGCUCUGGAGUUUGGACCCUCCCUGGCACCCUGGUCUCCUGCACUGAGCUGUGUGAGCUCUUCCACCCGGGCGGGCCCCCGGCAUUGACUGGCAUAGGUGGUGAGCCCGGAGGAGGACUUGCGUUCGGCCCGCUGGUCCCAGUGUGUCCGGAAUUGGUGGGUUCUUGGUCUCACUGACUUCAAGAAUGAAGCUGCGGACCCUCGCUAUGAUGAUAUGGAAGAAAAGCACUCUUUGGCCUGUUGUGACUGGGACAGUUGACAGCACCCAGGUGUCCUUUAAUGAAAAUGCUCUUGACACCAAUGCAUCCUAGCAUCACAGCUUCAGGAAGCCUUCUCAAGUGUGCAUGGGGAGUACUAUGUCUUUCAUCAAUAAUGAAAUCUUCUGAUUUGUAAGACAUGCUGCCAAGAGAUGUGCCAUUCUAUUAUAAAAGAUCAGUAGCUUCCUUUACCGACGUGUAUAUUCUAUCUAGAACAUUGAGCUAUGGAAGACUCCCACCUAAGGGAAUUAGUUUUACACCUUCAGAUAAAGACUGCUGAGAAGAGCACCCUCUGGUGUUGUCACAGAGGCAAGUGCUACCGCACAGGCAUGCUGCAGUGAAUUUAACUGAUCCUCUGUCCCUGCAACCGUUGUUUAAGGAUGCUAUUCUGAAAAGACUGUGGAGGAAGAAAACCCUUUACCCUGUUGUUCAGGGAGAAACUGACACCACUCAACUGCCUGGCACUGAAAAUGUGGCAUCCAGUCCACUUUACCAUCAGUGUUUAAGGAAACCAUCUCUGAUAAGGAUGACUGAGGAAGAGUACUCUUUGGCUUGUUGACACCAGCACAGCUGACACACCCAGAUAUCUGUUUGGUCUCCUGUGAACUUUCAACCAGGAUUUAAGGAUGCCACUCUGGUUAAAAGCUGAAACAACUUCAAGGAAACUUCAGGGAAAAGAGAAGGCCUGGAAUCUGAUCCUCCACUUCAGAGAACAGGGGUGGUGGAGUCUAUGGCCCUUCUCCUUGAAUCUGAGUGAAAUUAGUGAGUCUUUCAAUCCAAAGACUACAGUCAUACCUCAACUAUCUACAGAGGACUGGUUCCAGGACUCCCAUGGAUCCCAAAAUCCAAGGAUGCUUCGAAUCCCUUAUAUAAAAUGGCAUGGUAUUUGCAUAUAACCUACAUGCAUCUUCAAAUAUGUUAAACCAUCUCUAGAUUACUUAUAAUACCAAAUACAAUGUAAUGCUAUGUAAACAGUUGUUACAAUGUAUUGUCAAAGACAAGCUCUCCUUGCCAAUCCCUGACCAAAUGAGAGAUUCAUGAGCAAAAUAAAUAGUUGCUGAUAUUUAAGGCACUAAGUUUGGGGCAAUGUAUUACACAGCAAUAAAUAACUGGAACAGCAUAGUAAAUUCUAGUUAAAAAUACUAAACUACUAAGUUUUAGUUAACAUACAUGCUCAAGUUAAGGGUGUGGUAUACUAACAACUGCAACUUACUUUGAAAAGCAUAAAAAAAGACACUAGAAGAAGACAGGAUGGAUAGAUGGACAAGAUAGAAGACAAUAACAAAUAGAACAAAAUGUUGUGAAAUUAUAUUCUACAAUUAUUUUAAAGUCUGUGUGGUUUGAAAAAUUGUACGAUAAAAUGAAGAGUGAAAUAAAGACAUUUCCAUACAAACAAAAGCUGAAAGAUUUUGUAGCCAGUAGACCUAUACUUUAGAAAUGUUUAAGAAAUUUUUUCAAGUAAAAGGAAAAUAACACCAGCAACAAACUUGGAUCUACAAAAAGGAAUCUCCACAAAGAAAAAUAAAUAAAAAUGGUAAAUAUGAAGGUAAAUAUAAAGGAAUGUUAUUCUUAGUUUUUAAGUUUCUUCGUAAGACAACUGGCCUUUGAAAGAAAUAGUUUCAAACGCUGCUGUGGAAUCUAUAACACAUAUAGAAGUAAAAUGUUAAGAUCAUAAUACCAAAAAGAAUGAGGGAGAGUAAAUGGAUGUAUACUAUUCCAAAAUUCUUACAUUAUACAUUAAGAGGAAUAAUAUUUUUGAAGGUAGAUUGAGGUAAGUUAAAGGUGCAUAUUGUAAAUCCUAGAAGUAUCACUGGGGGGAAAAAAAACAGAGGGACAAGCUAAUAAUGGAGACAAUACAAAAUUCCAAAAAUGCUCCAUUAACCGAAAAGAAGGCAGAAAAGGAAGAAAAGAUUAGACAAAUAGAAAACAAAUAGUGUCUUAAACACAAUUAUAUUGCCAACUGCAAUAAAUGUAAAUGGACUUAAUCAAAAAGCAACGAUCGUAAAAAGUCAAUCUGAAAGCAAGAUGCAACUAUAUGCUAUCUAAAAGAAAGACAUUAAAUGACCAAUAAGCUGAAAAUAAAAACACAGCAAAAUGAUAUAAUGUGCAAAAAUUAAUCAUAAGAAAGGAAUGGAUACACUAAUAUCAAAGUAGACUUUAGAUAAGGAACAUUACCAGCGAUAAACAGAGACAUUUCAUAAUGAUAAAGACAUCAAUUAAUCAAGGAGAUCUAACAGUCCUAAAUGUGAACACACCUAAGGACACAA